rnacentral:rRNA from 1 species
CCUACGGGGGGCAGCAGUGAGGAAUAUUGGUCAAUGGGCUUACGCCUGAACCAGCCAAGUCGCGUGAGGGAAGACUGCCCUAUGGGUUGUAAACCUCUUUUGUCAGGGAGCAAUUGGCGCUACGUGUAGCGUUAUCGAGAGUACCUGAAGAAAAAGCAUCGGCUAACUCCGUGCCAGCAGCCGCGGUAAUACGUAGGGGGCAAGCGUUAUCCGGAUUUACUGGGUGUAAAGGGGGCGCAGACGGCGAUGCAAGCCAGGAGUGAAAGCCCGGGGCCCAACCCCGGGACUGCUCUUGGAACUGCGUGGCUGGAGUGCAGGAGGGGCAGGCGGAAUUCCUGGUGUAGCGGUGAAAUGCGUAGAUAUCAGGAGGAACACCGGUGGCGAAGGCGGCCUGCUGGACUGCAACUGACGUUGAGGCCCGAAAGCGUGGGGAGCAAACAGGAUUAGAUACCCGAGUAGUC